rnacentral:rRNA from 1 species
GCGGAUCUCGAAAGCCUGUCCCAGUUCGGACUGGAGUCUGCAACCCGACUCCGCGAAGUUGGAUUCGCUAGUAAUCGCGCAUCAGCCAUGGCGCGGUGAAUACGUUCCCGGGCCUUGUACACACCGCCCGUCAAGCCAUGGGAGCCGGGGGGCGCCUGAAGUCCGGGACCGCGAGGACCGGCCUAGGGCGAAACUGGUAACUGGGGCUAAGUCGUAACAAGGUAAC